CACCUUCACUGGCCCACUUCUAGGGCGGCAUCCAACAGAGGGAGAGGAGAGAACACUCCAGAACUCCAAAGCGAGACAAGGAAACAGGCUCAGAGAGGCCAAGUGCCUUGCCCUAGUCAACACAGCACUUCCACUUCAGCUUGAGAGGACACCUGGACCCAGCCUGUGCCCAACCUGGCCUUGCAUGCGCCCAGCUGGGGGUAGCUGCUGAGCUCCCAGCACUCAGCUUGGCAGGUGGAAACAAAUGAAAUGAGGCCAGAACACCCUCGGAGCAAGGGCCUCCUGGUGCCACGUGGCCCCCGGAUGGGAGCCCCCUGGUUCUGAGAGGCCAGAGCUGGCCUGGAGCUGGGAGAGAUUUGGGUGAGGCUCAGAGCCAACAGACUCCAGCUUUCAAGCAUUGUCGUUCUGCUCCGGGUGAAAGAAGACAGGCCCAAAGAAAGGAGAAGCAGGCCAUGGUGCCAGCUCCCUCAUGGCUGAUCUUCCACGACAUCUGGCAGGGUUUUUGGUCGUUCCAGAGUCCUGAGUAAAGGGGAUGUGCCUGGAGAGAUGCAGUGGGUGGAAGGGCAGCAGCCAAAGGGGUCUCCACAGAUGUAACAGUGGAGGGGUCUCUGUGCCUCCCAAGGCCACUCCGCCCUCCCCCCAGGACCAAGGCCUUACUCUAGGUGUCACCCUUCUAGCCCAGCUGCCCCUUGGCCUGGCACAUGCCUGAAAUAGUUCCUCUCUCCAUGUUUUGCUGAUUUAGAUAUCUGACCCUUGAGCUUUUGUCCCUC